rnacentral:lncRNA from 1 species
UCCAAACUCAGAGAAAAUUAAUACAGAAAUGAAUGCUGAGCAAGCAGUCUAGAAGAUAGCAAAUGUGCGGUAUUUGUGUGUGUAUUUCCCUGCAGAAUGCGGAACUCAUUAGUGUUUUAGUUUAUAUUCUGGAUCUCUUGAACUCAGUUAAUGUUAUAAUAACUGACGGCUUUUCUUGCAUCAACUUAAUUCCGUACUUCCCUGCAGCAUCCUUUGAGGCACUUUCAUACGGAGACACAGCUUCAACAGCUCUCAUUGCCUGCGCAUCAAACAUUUUCCAGUUGCUAAAUGCUUUUGGCUUUUGGCGAUUUUAAUUAGCUGCAGCGAUUUACGGUAGUUGCAAGUAUCACGUGUAUUUUUGCUCGCACAUCGUGUGCAAAUUGUGGCCAAAAUAUGUGUGUCUGUGUCUGUGUCUGUGUCGUCGAGCACUUUGACGAGUCAAUGAGUU